rnacentral:rRNA from 1 species
UACGGGGGGGGCAAGCGUUGUUCGGAAUUACUGGGCGUAAAGGGCGCGUAGGCGGCUUGGUCAGUCCCGUGUGAAAUCCCUCGGCUCAACUGAGGAACUGCACGGGAAACUGCCUGGCUUGAGUUCGGGAGAGGGAAGCGGAAUUCCGGGUGUAGCGGUGAAAUGCGUAGAUAUCCGGAGGAACACCGAUGGCGAAGGCAGUGGUCUGGGCCGAUACUGACGCUGAGGAGCGAAAGCGUGGGGAGCGAACGAGG